rnacentral:lncRNA from 1 species
AUGUGCAAUGUGAACAUUUACAUAAAAUGCCUUGAUUACACUGAAAAUGUUUCUGUUUCUUUUGGCAGAUCCAGGAAGAAAACAUAUAAUCUAUAUUUCAGUUCUGUGUGUGGUCUGUAUUAUUGCAGUAGUUGGAGUUUUUCUUUGUCUAAGGAAAAGGAGAAACCACAUAGAAGGCAGGGAGAGGGACAGCACAUACCAGAACUGGCUGCCGAGGGACAAGAGUCAUUAUUAACCUCCAUCUACGCCAAAAUUCAACCACAUUCCCCAGCGGCCACAGGCACAGACAGCACUGUGAUCUUAGGUCACCUAUAAAAUUACAUUUCACUGCUUUUUACUGUGCACUGAAGAUAUACUGUAGCUAGACAUGACAUCAAGAAGUGCUUGAGGUUAAUAAAUCAGCGCAAAUAUUUAUGUACCUCA